GAUCAUGGCUCAGGGUGAACGCUAGCGACAGGCCUAACACAUGCAAGUCGAGGGGCAGCGGAGAGGUAGCAAUACCUUUGCCGGCGACCGGCGCACGGGUGAGUAACACGUAUGCAAUCCACCUGUAACAGGGGGAUAACCCGGAGAAAUCCGGACUAAUACCCCACUAAUAUGGGCGGCUCCGCCAUGGAGAGCCCACUUAAAGAAGAGCAUUUAGUUAGUAGACGAGCAUNCGCGUCCCACCUUAA
rnacentral:rRNA from 1 species